CAAAGCAGCCUGGCCUCCUUUUAUAACAGCUCUGGGUUCCAAAGUAAGGAAGGGGAUAAUGUCAGCUCAGGUUCAAUAGAGUGGAAGGGAUAGAUGCCAGCUCUCAAUGGAGCCCACAUUUUGCUCAGAUGUGACUUCAGGAGAAAAGGAUUUCUUCAGCCCCAAGAGUAGGCUCCACAACCAGCAUGGAGCCCAAUGUGGGUUUUGAACUCAGGACCCUGAGAUGAUGACCUGAGCUGCAAUCAAGAGUCAGACACGUAAACGACUGAGCCACCCACCUGCCCCAGGAAGUUAAUUCUUGGGUGCCUUUAACAAACCCCAAUUUGAGCAACUGAAAAGCCAUCAGUGGUAAUAACCUUUUUUGUUUCCUACUGAUUUAGGUUGAUUCUUUCACUGAAAAAGAAAUUUAUUUA